GCACUAGAAGCUCAGUGGCUGAGCAUGGGAUUGCAGUCAUGGUAAUAUCCCGGGGUCGUCGGUUCAAAUCCGGCCUGGUGCU